rnacentral:rRNA from 1 species
AGUGAACGCUGGCGGUAGGCCUAACACAUGCAAGUCGAACGGCAGCACAGUAAGAGCUUGCUCUUACGGGUGGCGAGUGGCGGGCGGGUGAGGAAUACAUCGGAAUCUACUUUUUCGUGGGGGAUAACGUAGGGAAACUUACGCUAAUACCGCAUACGACCUACGGGUGAAAGCAGGGGAUCUUCGGACCUUGCGCGAUUGAAUGAGCCGAUGUCGGAUUAGCUAGUUGGCGGGGUGAAGGCCCACCAAGGCGACGAUCCGUAGCUGGUCUGAGAGGAUGAUCAGCCACACUGGAACUGAGACACGGUCCAGACUCCUACGGGAGGCAGCAGUGGGGAAUAUUGGACAAUGGGCGCAAGCCUGAUCCAGCCAUACCGCGUGGGUGAAGAAGGCCUUCGGGUUGUAAAGCCCUUUUGUUGGGAAAGAAAAGCAGCAGGUUAAUACCCCGCUGUUCUGACGGUACCCAAAGAAUAAGCACCGGCUAACUUCGUG